rnacentral:rRNA from 1 species
UACAGAGGUCUCAAGCGUUGUUCGGAUUCAUUGGGCGUAAAGGGUGCGUAGGCGGCGCGGUAAGUCGGGUGUGAAAUCUCGGAGCUUAACUCCGAAACUGCAUUCGAUACUGCCGUGCUUGAGGACUGGAGAGGAGACUGGAAUUUACGGUGUAGCGGUGAAAUGCGUAGAUAUCAAGUGGAACACCAGUGGCGAAGGCGAAUCCCUGGAAAAUACCUGACACUGAGGCACGAAAGCUAGGGGAGCAAACAGG